CAUACUUUAAGAUAUUGGAGUAAUGGUUCUUCUUCUCCAUUUUACUCUUCUCUCUAUCUGUUCUGUUAUUUCUGCCAGAGCCAGAGCUCUUCAACAGCGUACUUCAAUGCUAUCCGCAUUCGGGUGAAUUCUCAGAUAAAUGCCCUUUCACCAUUCUUAUUUCAUGGGACAUAUUCAAGAGUUGUAAUUAAAAAGAUAAAUAGAAGGGGAAAGAAUAUGAUCGGAGCAAAAGAUGGAGAGACGAAAGACGACCAAUGAGUUUUUCCAGCGCAGUAUUCCAGACGCAAUUUGAUACAAACUUGGGGAAGGAAGAAGAGGGAGAAAAAUUGGGUCGAUGCUGUCAUGGCAGAAUGCACCAUGGAUUACAACUUAUGGAGAUUUCAUGGCACAUUGAUAAUGCAUUGUUAGGAGAACAGGCAAGUUGCAGAUCCUGGAUGAAUUGGCAAAAAAAAAAAAAAAAAAAAAAUUGGCUAGAUCCAAUAUCACAUAAGUGGACUUGAAGGUAACAGUAGCUUGGAACAGACCAUUUCUUGAAAAUCAUUUGACAUACUUUAGCUAAUAAUUAGUUCUUCCUGAAGUCUCAUGUGGAUUGUUUUUCAUCAUCAUCAUGUAAUUAGGAUGCUUUACCUGCCAUUUGGGAUUAUAGCACUGGAGGUGCUCUCUAUAGUAGUAAGAUAACUUUCUUCUAAACUUUUCUGGCAAAACAUGGGUAGUGCGUGUUUCACCGCUCAAUUUUUUUAAAUAAUUUUUUUCUUUACGUACAUAUAUUCAACGAAGUUUAUAUUGGUGGAGUUAUUUAGUUUGUAAAGAUUCGUUGAAACUUUAGAUUAAUUAAUUUUUAUUUAAGCAUUUAAGAUUAAUCUCGCAAAUAGCUUAUACUUCCCUUUAUAACCACAGCUAAUACCAAGUGGAGGUGCAGACCUGCAAUUUAACUGCUUCCUUCAGCUACAUGGGAUAAAGGUAAAAUAACUUGCUGGGUAUUGUUGUAUUUACCAUAGAUAUAAUUGAUAUAAUGGUUUUCCAACUCAGAUGGGUACGCGCGCUAUACCUGAUAUAACUUUACGUUCUCAUAACGUUGCAUAAGAAUAUAAGGAAUGAAACCAAAGACAUAGUCUGCUUGGCUAUGUGCUAACCUUUACAUAGCCUACUUGGUUUUGUUAAAGUAAUAUUAACCGAAUUACAUUAGUGAUGUUAUCUAUUGAGCAUUACAUUUGCUAUUUUUAACUCUUUUGUUGGCUUUCGUCGUUCCGUGUACAUUUUUACUAUGUUGGAAAAUGAUGAAAUUUCAAAAACCAUGCUAAUUUCAUUCGAUGAUACUGGAAUAACAUUGUUCUGUGACAUGAAUCAUAAAUAUUUGGUUCUUCAUUAGGGUACUAUCGUAAUUUUAGCUAAACGUAUAAGUUAUGCCAAGGUUAUUGAUACCUCAACUUGAUAUAAAAAUCCAUCAAAUUAUCUAAUAUGCUAAAUCACUUCUCUUCCGUCUUAGCAAGUAUAUUUGUAUAAUUUUCUGAAAUGCGCCUAUUUUAGCCAAAUAGUAAAUUUUGGCAUAUAGGUUUCAAUAGGUACCUAAAGUUUUAAAAAAAUCUUUUGGAACCUAUAUGCCAAAAACACACUAAAUUUCAAGAUGCAGAAAUUGAAGUGAUCACAAGAAUUUUAUACAUCAAAAUGAUGACUGGAAAGCUAUUUUUUACACUAAGGUAUAAAUUAGGUAUUUCCACAAUCACUGUAAUAUGCUAUGCCAUGAUUUAGGACUCAGGAACAUAUCAUUUAGUAGGCUUAUAUUAGUUUCUCAAUGCUUUCUUAGUUGAUGGUGAUUUCUCAAAUUUGCUGGUAACCAAAAUCAUGGAGUCUUGUUCAUACUACUCAAAGCUAUUACUACAAAGAAUAUGUUGUAGUUGUUGUUUCUUGCUUCUUGAAGUCAGAGAAUUACUAUGUAAAGGAAUCUUCACUUUUUCGUCUUUGAUAAAUAUUGUACACAAAAUAAUAUAUUUUAUGGUAAAGUUAGUAUUUUACAUCAAAAACCA